UACAUAUCAAUAAGCGGAGGAAAAGAAACCAACAGGGAUUGCCCUAGUAACGGCGAGUGAAGCGGCAACAGCUCAAAUUUGAAAUCUGGCUCUUUUAGAGUCCGAGUUGUAAUUUGCAGAGGGCGCUUUGGCGUUGGGAGCGGUCCAAGUUCUUUGGAACAGGACGUCACAGAGGGUGAGAAUCCCGUACGUGGUCGCUAUCCUUCGCCGUGUAAAGCCCCUUCGACGAGUCGAGUUGUUUGGGAAUGCAGCUCUAAAUGGGAGGUAAAUUUCUUCUAAAGCUAAAUACUGGCCAGAGACCGAUAGCGCACAAGUAGAGUGAUCGAAAGAUGAAAAGCACUUUGGAAAGAGAGUCAAAUAGCACGUGAAAUUGUUGAAAGGGAAGCGCUUGCAGCCAGACUUGCCUGUAGUUGCUUAUCUGGACUUUUGUCCAGUGCACUCUUCUGCGGGCAGGCCAGCAUCAGUUUGGGCGGUUGGAUAAAGGUCUCUGUCAUGUACCUCCUUUCGGGGAGGCCUUAUAGGGGAGACGACAUGCAACCAGCCUGGACUGAGGUCCGCGCAUCUGCUAGGAUGCUGGCGUAAUGGCUGUAAGCGGCCCGUCUUGAAACACGGACCAAGGAGUCUAACAUCUAUGCGAGUGUUUGGGUGUCAAGCCCAGACGCGUAAUGAAAGUGAACGGAGGUGGGAACCUUUUAGGUGCACCAUCGACCGAUCCUGAUGUCUUCGGAAGGAUUUGAGUAAGAGCAUAGCUGUUGGGACCCGAAAGAUGGUGAACUAUGCUUGAAUAGGGUGAAGCCAGAGGAAACUCUGGUGGAGGCUCGCAGCGGUUCUGACGUGCAAAUCGAUCGUCAAAUUUGGGCAUAGGGGCGAAAGACUAAUCGAACUAUCUAGUAGCUGGUUCCUGCGAGUUCU
rnacentral:rRNA from 1 species